UGCGUAGGCGGUCUUUCAAGCCAGAAGUGAAAGGCUACGGCUCAACCGUAGUAAGCUUUUGGAACUGUAGGACUUGAGUGCAGGAGAGGAGAGCAGAAUUCCUAGUGUAGCGGUGAAAUGCGUAGAUAUUAGGAGGAAUACCAGUAGCGAAGGCGGCUCUCUGGACUGUAACUGACGCUGAGGCACGAAAGCGUGGGGAGCGAACA
rnacentral:rRNA from 1 species